rnacentral:rRNA from 1 species
AUUGAACGCUGUCCGCAGGCCUAACACAUGCAAGUCGAACUCGUGGCGGCCGGGUUCUUAAUGUCUUGGAAACUGCCUGAUGGAGGGGGAUAACUACUGGAAACGGUAGCUAAUACCGCAUACCAUCAGAUGUGCCCAGAUGGGAUUAGCUAGUUGGUGGGGUAACGGCUAACCAAGGCGACGAUCCCUAGCUGGUCUGAGAGGAGGACCAGCCACACUGGAACUGAGAAACGGUCCAGACUCCUACGGGAGGCAGCAGUGGGGAAUAUUGCACAAUGGGCGCAAGCCUGAUGCAGCCAUGCCGCGUGGAUGAAGAAGGCCGUGGGGAUGUAAAGUACUUUCAGAGAGGAGGCGGUACCAGAAGAAGAAGCACCGGCUAUCUCCGUGGAAGCAGCCGCGGUAAUAC